GCCGGGAGCGGUGGUGCAUGCCUGUAAUCCCAGCGGCUCUGGAGGCUGAAGCAGGAGGAUCACAAGUUCAAAGACAGCUUCAGCAAAAGCAAGGCACCAGGCAACUCAGUGAGACCCUGUCUCUA
rnacentral:sRNA from 1 species